rfam:Danio rerio chromosome 16, GRCz11 reference primary assembly.
UAAAAGUUUCUAAUUGUCUUGUAAACACCUGCAGCCCAAGACCGGUUACGGUUACUCACUGAGGCUAAGCAGGGCUGAGCCUGGUCAGUAUCUGGAUGGGAGACCACAUGAAAAACUGGGUUGUUGUUGGAA